rnacentral:rRNA from 1 species
CACGUAGGAUCCGAGCGUUAUCCGAAUUUACUGGGCGUAAAGCGCGUGCAGGCGGCUGGGUAAGUUGGACGUGAAAUCUCCCGGCUCAACUGGGAGGGGUCGUUCAAGACUGCCUGGCUAGAGGGCGGUAGAGGGAGGUGGAAUUCCCGGUGUAGUGGUGAAAUGCGUAGAUAUCGGGAGGAACACCAGUGGCGAAAGCGGCCUCCUGGACCGCCCCUGACGCUUAGACGCGAAAGCUAGGGGAGCGAAC